GCCGGGGUGGCGGAAUUGGUAGACGCAAGGGACUUAAAAUCCCUCGAGGGUAACCUCGUGCCGGUUCGAUUCCGGCCCUCGGCACCA
rnacentral:tRNA from 2 species